rnacentral:rRNA from 1 species
GAUGAACGCUGGCGGCGUGCCUAAUACAUGCAAGUCGAGCGAACAGAUGAGGAGCUUGCUCCUCUGACGUUAGCGGCGGACGGGUGAGUAACACGUGGAUAACCUACCUAUAAGACUGGGAUAACUUCGGGAAACCGGAGCUAAUACCGGAUAAUAUAUUGAACCGCAUGGUUCAAUAGUGAAAGACGGUUUUGCUGUCACUUAUAGAUGGAUCCGCGCCGCAUUAGCUAGUUGGUAAGGUAACGGCUUACCAAGGCGACGAUGCGUAGCCGACCUGAGAGGGUGAUCAGCCACACUGGAACUGAGACACGGUCCAGACUCCUACGGGAGGCAGCAGUAGGGAAUCUUCCGCAAUGGGCGAAAGCCUGACGGAGCAACGCCGCGUGAGUGAUGAAGGUCUUCGGAUCGUAAAACUCUGUUAUUAGGGAAGAACAAAUGUGUAAGUAACUAUGCACGUCUUGACGGUACCUAAACAGAAAGCCACGGCUAACUACGUG